rnacentral:tRNA from 1 species
GGGUAGAUCAUUGACAGAGCACUUGCCUGGCAUGCAAGAGGCCCUGGGUUCAGUCCCCAGCCC